rnacentral:rRNA from 1 species
AUUGAACGCUGGCGGCGUGCUUAACACAUGCAAGUCGAUCGGUAACAGGUGUAGCAAUACAUGCUGACGAGAGGCGGACGGGUGAGUAAUGCUUGGGAAUCUGCCUAUUAGUGGGGGACAACCCGGGGAAACUCGGGCUAAUACCGCAUACGCUCUACGGAGGAAAGCCGGGGACCGCAAGGCCUGGCGCUAAUAGAUGAGCCCAAGUCGGAUUAGCUAGUUGGUAGGGAACGGCCUACCAAGGCGACAAUCCGUAGCUGGUCUGAGAGGACGACCAGCCACACCGGAACUGAGACACGGUCCGGACUCCUACGGGAGGCAGCAGUGGGGAAUAUUGGACAAUGGGGCAACCCUGAUCCAGCGACGCCGCGUGGGUGAAGAAGGCCUGCGGGUUGUAAAGCCCUUUGGUGGGGACGAUGAUGACGGUACCCGCAGAA